ACUUUGAUUCUGGCUCAGGAUGAACGCUAGCUACAGGCUUAACACAUGCAAGUCGAGGGGCAGCGGGAUUGAAGCUUGCUUCAAUUGCCGGCGACCGGCGCACGGGUGAGUAACGCGUAUCCAACCUUCCGUACACUCAGGGAUAGCCUUUCGAAAGAAAGAUUAAUACCUGAUAGUAUCUUAAGCACACAUGUAAUUAAGAUUAAAGAUUUAUCGGUGUACGAUGGGGAUGCGUUCCAUUAGGUAGUAGGCGGGGUAACGGCCCACCUAGCCAACGAUGGAUAGGGGUUCUGAGAGGAAGGUCCCCCACAUUGGAACUGAGACACGGUCCAAACUCCUACGGGAGGCAGCAGUGAGGAAUAUUGGUCAAUGGACGAGAGUCUGAACCAGCCAAGUAGCGUGAAGGAUGAAGGUCCUACGGAUUGUAAACUUCUUUUAUAAGGGAAUAAACCCUCCCACGUGUGGGAGCUUGUAUGUACCUUAUGAAUAAGCAUCGGCUAACUCCGUGCCAGCAGCCGCGGUAAUACGGAGGAUGCGAGCGUUAUCCGGAUUUAUUGGGUUUAAAGGGAGCGCAGACGGGUCGUUAAGUCAGCUGUGAAAGUUUGGGGCUCAACCUUAAAAUUGCAGUUGAUACUGGCGUCCUUGAGUGCGGUUGAGGUGUGCGGAAUUCGUGGUGUAGCGGUGAAAUGCUUAGAUAUCACGAAGAACUCCGAUUGCGAAGGCAGCACACUAAUCCGUAACUGACGUUCAUGCUCGAAAGUGUGGGUAUCAAACAGGAUUAGAUACCCUGGUAGUCCACACGGUAAACGAUGGAUACUCGCUGUUGGCGAUAUACUGUCAGCGGCUUAGCGAAAGCGUUAAGUAUCCCACCUGGGGAGUACGCCGGCAACGGUGCAACUCAAAGGAAUUGACGG
rnacentral:rRNA from 1 species